GGUGUGUAGUAGGCCGUCCCAUCUAGGUUUGUGUAAGUGCACUCUGAGAUGUUCCCACAAUGAUGCAGCUAGCAAUGCAUUUCUCAUAAUGCAUCCCCAUUGUUAAGUGACACACCACUGUACUUAGAACAAUGUUCACUGACACAGCAAGGACCAGCAUGUGUCGUGUCCGUUUAAAAACAGCUAUUGGCUUCCUAUUACUUUCAUGGUGAGGUCUGUUCACAAACAAAAUUUCAACCAAUGUAAAGAUUAAAUUGGCUUUUAUUAGUGAUUCAUAAAUCAGGUAGCAUUUCAUCUAGAGAUUUGGAAAAGGCACUCCACUGGGCAUGGCAGCAGAGUCAAUUUUUAUAAGAACUGAAUAGGACAGCCUUAAUGAGGCAAAGAACAUUGCUGAAGGUCCACACCAGCAAGAAGUGAAAUGAGCUGGCCAGGGUACUCCACUGAAUUAAAGAGAAUCUGGAUCUUCUGGGAUAUCAGCGGGGAGAUUGUCUGGCCUGGAGAGUCUGUGACUAAAUCCUUCAAGAGUCAACAGCAAGCCUAGGGCAGGCCAGCAGAGCCCGGAGCCUCCUCUACCCAUACUCCUCAUGUGGUUUGAGAACUGUGGAAGAUUGAUUCAGUAACGUAUCAAUGGCUGUCUGCAUUGCAAAAAGAUUAACCAGGAUCUUCUCUGAUAGAGACUUUCAGAAGAUACAGUGUCUACACCAAGAGGCACAUGACACAACCUGGACUCUGGGAAAACCACCAGGUGCACCCACAUGAAGGUACCAUGGAAAUUUAUUACGU